CGAACGGGUGAGUAAUACAUAAGCAACCUACCCACGAAGACUGGGAUAAUCUCUGGAAACGGGGACUAAUACCGGAUAGGUAAUCGGAAGGCAUCUUCUGAUUAUUAAAGGUUAAAAACACUGGUGGAUGGGCUUAUGGCGCAUUAGUUAGUUGGUGAGGUAACGGCCCACCAAGACGAUGAUGCGUAGCCGGCCUGAGAGGGUGAACGGCCACAUUGGGACUGAGACACGGCCCAG
rnacentral:rRNA from 1 species